GUGACCAUGCCAGAGCCUGAAAUCCUCUGUUUAGCCACAGAAGGAGUACAACGCAGGCAGUGGCAGUGCAGACUUCCCCACACAGGUCCGAUCAAUGUGCAUCAAGCUUGUUCAGGAGGGACCACCUCUAGUGGGGGAAAGGUAUUUCAGUUUUCAUGCCCAUUCAUUUUUUGUUGCUUCC
rnacentral:sRNA from 1 species